AUAGUUCGGUGACAGGAUAUAUGCUAGUAGAACUUAUGACAGGUCAAAAACCAAUUAUGCCGAUUGAAGAAAAGGUACUUACUUGGAGUAUGCUAUCAUGGGAAGAUGGAUUGACAAGAGAAGAACUUCUGGCUAUUAGGAUUCGACAAUUGGAGCAAAGAACAGAAGAUGUCCAGAUAGCAUUGGAAAGGUUAAAAAGAGCAAGGUUACAAAACAAGGCGCGAUU
rnacentral:lncRNA from 1 species